rnacentral:rRNA from 1 species
UACGUAGGGAGCGAGCGUUGUCCGGAUUUAUUGGGCGUAAAGAGCUCGUAGGCGGUUUGGUAAGUCGGGUGUGAAAGCUCCGGGCUCAACUCGGAGAGGUCACUCGAUACUGCCAUGACUUGAGUCCGGUAGGGGGGUGUGGAAUUCCCAGUGUAGCGGUGAAAUGCGUAGAGAUGUGGAGGAACACCGAUGGCGAAGGCAGCCUCCUGGGCCAACACUGACGCUCAUGCACGAAAGCGUGGGGAGCAAACAGG